CCGGUCGGCCUAUGGAACCACCGUUGUGUGCUCCGUGCAUUACGUCGAAGGCAAAUACGCCCUCUAAUCGGUGUGGUCUUGCACGCAUCGGUGGGGCUUGAUAGAAAUUCAAGCCUUGACGCUGAACCCUAACGAGAAAGCGAUGAUGACCAGCUGAGAAUGACGAAUCGUGAAAGCGAUGAUGACCCGGUGAGCCCCAAAUCGUGAAAGCGUUAGGCGAAAGCGUCCGCAUUAAGUUGGUUGCGUCUGCUGGCUCCAACCCGGGUGUAGAUUAUCAAUCUCUUGAUAGUCUCAAGCCCGCGAUGACGGUUUUCGAGUGAUUAUCUUCCUGGAUCGUUGUCWACCGGGCUUGAUUGGUUCACAAGCUCGUGAUGGGUACCGACGCUUGUGGGUUUCGUUGCUGCCUGGUUUUGCUUAUAUAUAUGUGCGUGUCCGGACUUGUUUCUCNUGCCUCGUAUAGCNAUUUGAAUCCAUCGCUUUGCGUANGAAUGGUGGGCUCGUUCCUUUAGGUGACUUGAUCUGAUGAUGAUGUUACUGUGCGUUGAUUAAGCCCGAGCUUUGAUCAANGGCCCAGCUACGGAGUCAUUUGGUCUUUGUUGCGCGAGCAACAUGAGUGAACCGAUUCUUUUCUACGUGGAUAUAUAUAAGCAAGCGAUGAUGCAACGGAACCCACAAGCCACGGUACCCCAUGGACCCUUCCUGAUGGACCCUUCCCGAUGGACCCUUCCUAACGACGGUUUAUAUUCCUGAUUUUCCCAUCGUUCGGGGCAUUCUGGGGCUGUUUUGGCUAUUGGUUGCUUGUUUGGUCUUGAGCCGAAUGGGUGUCUUCUAGCCUGGUGGCUUCGGGGAUGUUGAUCGUAAAGGUGGAUGAGUGGUGUUUGGUUUGUUACGUGUGGUUGGCUGCGGCGUUUGCAACAACUUCCAUGCUUUCAGACCUCUUCAUUUGUGCGGCAAGGCUUGUAUCGCCUUGAGCGUAUUGUGGGUUUUCUGUGUUGAAUACCUAAUCAAUGGUAUCGGUUGGAUUGAUCAAUGUUUCAUUUCGUCUGUCGUCGCAUUUGCGGCGUGAGAUGAACCUUGAUGCGGUCUCUUUGAUCCACCUUGUUGAAGCGCAUGCUUUGACGUUGUGGCGCAUUGAGCAUUGCUUGGUCUCUUGUAUGCGGAACAUGUAGUGGGCAUGAAUCUCACGAUUCUCGUUUGCCCUCAUAUUAGCCAUAACGCUUCUCUUACACGACUUGCUCC
rnacentral:misc_RNA from 1 species